GUCUCUCUCAGCCUCGAUCACAUCCGCUCUUCCUGCUCGCAGUGUGUGGGGUCGGACUGCGGCAGCCAGGAGAGGAAACCCAGCAUUUUAUUAAUAGUUAGGGGCUAAAGAGUCUGAUGUGGGGAGAUAUGAGGUAGGGGCCGCCACGGACACACUCGCUACUGCAUCACCUCCUUGGUAGAAGAUAAAUGUGACAUUUAGUUAUACUUCUGUUCAGUUAUAAAAGUGGGUAAUCAGACAAUCUCAGCGUAGCAACUUGAUACUUUCAGGCAGGUAAACGUGGUGUAUAUGGCCAAACUGAGCAUCAGUGAGGGAGGAGCGAUUUGCAGGACUUAAAACAUUUCCAGGGUACCAUCUCUGAAAGCAAAACAGGUUGACUCUUGAAGCAGAUGGGUUACGGCAGAAGACCACAGGUAGUGCAACUCUUGUCAGCGUAGAGCAGGGGUGGGCAAGCCUGGUCCUCGAGUGCCACUGUCCUGCAUGUUUACAUGUUCAACACACCUGCUUCAAAUCAGUGGUGGUCAUGCAGGUGUGCACACACCUGUUCAUGAGUCAUUUGUAUGAGGGGGUGCUGAAGCAGAGGAACAUCUAAAACAUGCAGGGCAGUGGCUCAAGGGCCAAGAUUACAUACCCCUGGUAGAAGGCAUGAAACUGGAGCUAUACUUUGCACAGGCUCAUGAAAAUAAACUGGAAAGUGUUUCCCGGUUUGAGACUGAACUUCAAUCACAUUCAGAUGGUGUUAGGGUCAGAAUAAGGCAUAAGCGUGGAUCCAUCCUGCCUUGUCAUCGUUUCAACUUGCUGCUGGUGGUGACGUAAAGGAACAUAUUUUGGCACGCUUUGGGGCCAUUACUGCCAAUUGAUCGUAGUUUUAAAUGCCACAGUCUGACAGGGUAUCAUUGCUAACCAUCAGCAUAAGUAGUUUAUUCCAAGGGUUUGAGUCACCCAUGGGGAUGUGUGUCAUGGACGUGCAGCCCACAAGUCUGUAGCAGCUGUUGAUGCUAUCAUGGACAAAAAUCUGAGUGUUUUACAAUGGCUUGUUGAAUCUAUACCUCCAAGAACUAGGGCAGUUCUGAGGGCAAAAGGGGGUCCAACCUGGUACUAAAAAAAAAAAGUGGGUAAGUUUGAUCAGUGAAGAUAAAAAUUGAGAAAUGUCUAUGUACAACUUGAAUAAUUUUAUUUUAAUAAAGCAGCUUUG